GGCUCGAUGGUCUAGUGGUAUGAUUCUUCAUUCGGGUUGAAGAGGUUCCGGGUUCGAUUCCCGGUCGAGCCC
rfam:Folsomia candida strain VT population Fcan01_Sc003, whole genome shotgun sequence.